rnacentral:rRNA from 1 species
CCUACGGGAGGCAGCAGUGAGGAAUAUUGGACAAUGGUCGAAAGACUGAUCCAGCCAUGCCGCGUGCAGGAUGACUGCCCUAUGGGUUGUAAACUGCUUUUAUACGGGAAGAAAAACACCUACGUGUAGGUGACUGACGGUACCGUA